rnacentral:rRNA from 1 species
ACACUGGAACUGAGACACGGUCCAGACUCCUACGGGAGGCAGCAGUGGGGAAUAUUGCACAAUGGGCGCAAGCCUGAUGCAGCCAUGGCGUGUAUGAAGAAGGCCUUCGGGUUGUAAAGUACUUUCAGCGGGGAGGAAGGGAGUAAAGUUAAUACCUUUGCUCAUUGACGUUACCCGCAGAAGAAGCCCCACCGGCUAACUCGUGCCCAGGCAUGGCGCAGGAAAUACGGAGGUGCAAGCGUUAAUCGGAAUUACUGGGCGUAAAGCGCACGCAGGCGGUUUGUUAAGUCAGAUGUGAAAUCCCCGGGCUCAACCUGGGAACUGCAUCUGAUACUGGCAAGCUUGAGUCUCGUAGAGGGGGGUAGAAUUCCAGGUGUAGCGGUGAAAUGCGUAGAGAUCUGGAGGAAUACCGGUGGCGAAGGCGGCCCCCUGGACGAAGACUCACGCUCAGGUGCGAAAGCGUGGGGAGCAAACAGGAUUAGAUACCCUGGUAGUCCACGCCGUAAACGAUGUCGACUUGGAGGUUGUGCCCUUGAGGCGUGGCUUCCGGAGCUAACGCGUUAAGUCGACCGCCUGGGGAGUACGGCCGCAAGGUUAAAACUCAAAUGAAUUGACGGGGGCCCGCACAAGC